UCUCCGUUGGUGAACCAGCGGAGGGAUCAUUACAGGACUCGCAAUCCUCCUUCACCCUGUGAACUUAACUACAAGCACGUUGCUUCGGCGGGUGCCUCGGCGGCGGUCCCCCCUCCCCGGGGCGGGAAGCCCGCUGGCAGCCCCCCAAACUCUGUCUCUCUGCGUUGGCCUCUCUAGUACAAUCAAACAAGUUAAAACUUUCAACAACGGAUCUCUUGGUUCUG
rnacentral:misc_RNA from 1 species